UACGGAAGGCAGCAGUGGGGAAUAUUGCACAAUGGGCGCAAGCCUGAUGCAGCCAUGCCGCGUGUAUGAAGAAGGCCUUCGGGUUGUAAAGUACUUUCAGUCGUGAGGAAGGUGUUAAGGUUAAUAACCUUAGCAAUUGACGUUAGCGACAGAAGAAGCACCGGCUAACUCCGUGCCAGCAGCCGCGGUAAUACGGAGGGUGCGAGCGUUAAUCGGAAUUACUGGGCGUAAAGGGCACGCAGGCGGUUAAUUAAGUUGGAUGUGAAAUCCCCGGGCUUAACCUGGGAAUGGCAUUCAAGACUGGUUAGCUAGAGUUUUUGUAGAGGGGGUAGAAUUCCAUGUGUAGCGGUGAAAUGCGUAGAGAUGUGGAGGAAUACCGGUGGCGAAGGCGGCCCCUGGACAAAGACUGACGCUCAUGUGCGAAAGCGUGGGGAGCAAACAGGGAUUAGAUACC
rnacentral:rRNA from 1 species